CUUCCUUUGUUGGUGGCCCUGCAUUUACAACAGUGCAGUGUCUCACCUUGAGCAGAGCCACCAGGUGCUUCCACAGCAUAAAUAAACAACAGUGCAGCACAGAAUGCACCGCUGUGCACUGCAAUGUGCUGUGCCAAUAACCAACAUCAGCUGGCAAAAUACCUUGAGUACUGCUUAAAAUUGUACUCUGAGCACAAGACAGAAGUUAUGACAAGGUUAUAAUCUGUUUAAACAUUAAGUUUCUGCUUUGCCUCAGCAGGUUGCUGGGAAGAGACUUUCCCAGGCUACCACUUAAUUACAAUUAAUGUAGUUACAGGGUUAAGCAAUAAACUCUCUUUUGGCUUUCAGCAGGUCAAAUUAUUCAUUAACAACCUCUGGGCAAAGCCUAGCCAGCUCAUAUGCUUAAAAGCCAAUUAGAUUUAUCCCUGGUUUUACUGAGGUUCUCUUUGGUCUUAAAAGGUUCAUCAGCAAAGGUGGAAGGAGCUGGAUCUGCAGUCAGUCUUUUGGGGUUGGACAUUUCCUUUCUUCCUUCUUCAGGGUUAAUGCAGGAUUCCUUUUUAUACAAAUCCAACCUUUUGGAUUAUUUGGUGUGGUUUGUCUCUCUGUAAUUAAGAAUCCACUGAGAAAACUGGCUUCAAACUGGCUGUUAAUAGCUUCUUAGCAAUGGCUUUCCUUCUGGUGUCCCCUGUAAUGGGAGGGUUGGGUUUUUUCACUGAAAAUCUAAGCUGUGAAACCUGCUUCUUGAUAGGAAAAACUGCACCAGGUUAUGCACUCAUGAGCUUUUUAAUCUAAAAGUUAAAACUAAGGCAGCUUUUCAUUAAAAAAAAAAUUAUUAAAAAAAAGUUGAAAAACAACAUGUUCUAGAAUUCCCCUUCUUUUGGUACUAGCGAAAUAUGGGGGGAAGUAACUGAACCCAAAUCCUUUCAGAGCCUCAUUCACAGAGGUUUUUUCUUUCCAUCUGGCUUCAGCAGGGGUAAGAGUUGCUGGCAAAGCACUCAUCCCCAGUACUCUGGAGUCUGUGCUGGGCAUGGCCCAGGGUUUCCAGGCUACCACCCAAGAGCCCAGUGCUCUCCAUCCUCUUAGAGAACUUUUUACCAUCCCUGCUAACGUGGUAUGUGCCUCAGUGGUUUUUUUUUUUCAUGGAUUUUUCUAUCUGAAUAGAAUUUCUAAAAUACACAAAGCCAUCCAGGGCUGAAAUAAUAACACUGCUGUGCUGCCAGGUGGAAACAGCCUUGGGCUUGGCAGUAUUAUCUCUUGAAGAGGAUGAAGGUAACAAUGGCUAGAUCACAUCCCAUGAUGUGACUCUGGAAAGCCAAACAGUUUUUCAAAGAAACCAAAAGUAAAAUUACAUUUUGUGGUUUUACAAGCAAACUGACAUUUCAAAGUAAUUUUAAUUUAGUAAUGUAAAGUAAAAACAGCAGCUAAUUCCCUAAAGCAAUGUAGCAACUUCAGAGUGUGGAGGUUGUUAGUGUCACAAAAAAUGCUGCUGUAAGAAACUGGACUGUGAGGAAUUGGAUGCACUCCCUGUGAGCUCAUCCUUCCCAACAGGAGCACCAGGGAUUUGGCACUGCCCUGCCUUGACUUGUGCUGCAUCACAGGGUGGGGUCCAGGAGUUGGUAAAUUCAUGGCAGUUACCAAAAGAAACACUUUGGCCCAAGCACUAGGAUAUUUAACUUUGGCAAAGCUCAUUGAAUAGUUUCUUCCACUAAUCAAGGCUGCUCAAAGACCUGUCCAGCUUGGCCUUGAACAUUUUCAACCACACCUUCUCUGUGGGGACCUGUGCCAGGGCCUCACUAUGGGAAUAAAUCACACAGGAUCCUGUUUCUCCAUGGUGGAAAAAGGCCAUUCUUUAUUCACAUCACUCCUUUUUACACAGUUUUACAGACCUCAUGUGGGACUCCAGUUGGUGAGGAGCUUUCUUGCCAGUUCCUCUACUGGUCAGUAACAAGUUAUCCUGUAUUAAUUGGUCACUCAAAACCCCAGUGCAGGAAAAGUUGUCAGAGAUAGAAAAAUGAAAACUAUCUCAAGGUUUAAAAACAGUUUAUGCAGGUGCUGGUUGUUUUCUAUCCAGGAAUAGAUUGUUAUGUUAACAAUAACUGCUCACACCAGGAUUGCUUUCACAUGGGAACUUGCAAAGGACUAGUCAAUGAUUUUAGGAGAGCAGGCUUGAUUUUAUGAAGCCUUUGUUUAUGAUUUCUCUACCUUACUGCAACACCUCACCACUCUGAAAGGGAAGAAUUUCUUCCUAUUACCCAAUUUAUCCUGCCCUCUGUCAGUUUAAAGCCAUUUUCCCAUGUCCUGUUGCUCCAUACCUGUUUGCAAAGUCCCUCCCCAGCUCCCUUCAGGUGCUGGAAGGCACUCUAAGGUCUCUCCAAAGCCUUCUCUGCUGCAGGCUGAACAACCCUGACUCUCAGCCUGUCUGCACAGCAGAGGCCAGCUCUGGUCAUCUUUGUGGACUCCUCUGGACCCUCUCCAGCAGAUCUGCAUCCUUCAGAUACUGGGGGGUCCCAGGGGUGGGUGCAGCACUGCAGGGGGGUCUCAGCAGAGCAGAGGGGCAGAAUCACUUCCCUUGAUCUGCUCCUGGUGCUGCUGCUUUUGAUGCAGCCCAGGACACAGCUGGAUUUUGAGGCUGUCAUGGUGAGCAUCUCAUCAAUCAACACCCCCAAAUCCUCCCCCUCAGGGCUGCCCUGGAUCCACUCUCUCCCCAGCCUGGAUUUGUUAAGCAAUCUUUAAAGCAUUUAGAUUUAGGUUGUUAAACUUCUGUGUUGAGAGGAUGGGAUGGAAGAGGAGCUUCUCUGCAGGUAUCUUUCCAAUAGAAAAGCUCAUCCCUGGCUCUCCUACAAGCUUUAACUUCAUCGCCUCUCAUGACAAAUGAGGCCAAAGGAUGCAGUGAAUUUCCUUCCUUCUCUCUUCUUACUGGCUUCCUUCCCAGAAUUUGGUGUUGCUCUGACUUUAAUUUGCCUCUUACUCUCUUCAACAGCACGUUUGUUCUUUUAAUAUUCUGCUUUUAAUAUUUACACCAUUUGCUGGUGUGAAUUAAAAGCCCAUUUGCAGCUGCUGUUGCAUUAAAUGGGUUUCUAGCUGGCAGUGCCUUCUGUGUGAGCUGCUCUCAGCAGUGUAACUCACAGGAGGCUGUGAUCACCUGGGGCUGCACCCUGCCAGGGGUUAGGGGGAGGCUGGAGGGGUGAAGGCUCACUUCUGGCAGGUCCACAGCAUUUAGAAAUGAUGGCUUUAAUACGACAGAGGGGAAUGCUGCUGCAGGACAGUCCAGGAGCUGACAGGUCCCAGCAGUGACAGCAGGAAAGGGUUGGUAGGGCUGGGUGCUGUGAGUGCAGACAGAAUCCCUGCUCACACAGAAGUGAACACCCCACAGAGAGGAGCCUGUGACUGCUCUGUGCUGCAGACAUUGCUGUUUCACCCAGGCUUUUGCUGUCACUGCUCAGUGUCUUUUGCUAUUUUGGCUUGUGAGCACCAUGAUGCUCAAUUCUGUCAUAGUUGAGAUGGAGACAACACAAAGCAGUACACUCUAUUUUCAGAAGGCUUCAAACUGGUUUUAAUCUAGCAUGAAUGCUUUUUAUACAUUCUUACAAAACUCAUAAGUUUACACUGUACUCAUUGGUCACAAGAGACAAACAAAAUGCUCAUUGGAAUGGGCAGCUGCAGGUUUCUCUUAUUUAUCUUUGUUUCUUUCUUGGUUUCUGUGUCAAUGACCUUAGUAGAGAAUUCUUUCAGGGGUAAACAUGGAUCCUCUUAUCAAACUUCUCUCUGGCUCACAGAAAUCACUGUAAAACCUCUUCUACACAAUUCUGGUACUUUGCAGGGACAACCAGAGACCUGAGGGGUUUGAAACCACCAGUAAUUCAGGAAGUGUGGGAAAACAAACAGGAGAUGGAACAGGGAGCACAACAGAUCAGGAUAUUCCAGCCUUGGUCAGGUACAGGCUGUGAGAUGAGCGACCACAGAUAUGAGACUGAGAAAGCACAGCUCAUGCAGACACCAGAGGUUUGAAGCUGUAGUUUUGUAAGGCUGCCAAGGAGCACAAACAAUAGGCUGGUUCUGUAACUAGUGGUUGUUACAGAUGAGUAACGAGUUGUGAGUUGGCUCUCACAAUCAAGGGGUGAUUAUAUGUGUGUUAAGAGAAGUUGUGUAGAUGUACAGUUAUGUUACUGUGAUAUGUCCUCUCCCUUGCAUUGUUAUCAUGGGAUGGCCUUGGUACUCAGGGCAUUUGGGAGGGUUGGCUUGUUACUAUGGCAACACCUGAACUCCAUCCGAGGUGUAAGAAAGAGAUCUGCACCCCAGGACAGCAAGGAAGGAGCCAAUGGCAAGACUUUAGCAGGAGCUAGGAUAAAAGGCAGAACAUCCACUUUGAGCAUGUGGCUGGUUAUCACAGGAACUCCCAGUGCUGUAAUUUCUCCUUAUUUAGUCCUUUUGUUGCAGUUUUUAUUAAAGUUUAAUAAAAUUUCAAAAAGUGAGCAGUCGUUUCUCACAGUGGUUGUGACUGCUAGAGCUGUAACAGUAUAAAACUGUGCUGUGAAAACAAUACUGGAACUUCAAUGACUUCAGCACCCUGUACCUCUAUGCUCUGGCUUCAACAAACAAAUUCAACUGUGACUUCUGCUGGGGCUUUGACUUCUUGUGCUUGGAUUACUUUCAGCCCCUCUGCCUUUCUCUGGAGUCCUGUCUCUCAGUUGCCCAACAAGGAAGGGCUUCCCUGGUUGUUGUGUUACUGGUACACAUUUACUGAGUUUAAUUCAGCAGAUCAGGGGGAGGAAAUGCACACAGGAGUGGAGGGCAGGGAAAGUCCAGGGGAGGAAGAAAAGAGGAAAAGGCUGAAGAGUAUUUUAUCGACUUACAAGAAAAUUAGAUUUUUAAUUUUUAUUAAAGUUUAAAAUCCUUAUUUUUUUGAAUUAACUGUUUUGUACCCCAGCUGAUCUACGAGCUGCCUUUUUUUGUUAAACAGAAAUAUUGCAGAGUGAGUUGAUUUCCUGCUUGCUUAUGUUCAGCUUUAAUGUAAUUGGACACUUCCAGAGCACAAUAUUACAGGUUAAUCUGAAGGUGGACAAAGGGAGAGCCCAAAAUAGUGCAGCAGCUUCUGUCAGACAGCUUUGACCUUCUGCACCAAAGACUUGAGGGCCUGAGGAAACCUUGUGCAUGAGUUAGAGGGACUUUUGGCAACACAGGUUAAAUGCACAUUAUAUUAUAUGUAAGUGAGCAAGGCUGAAGGACAAGAAAGGGAAACUCCCAACUCUUCUGUUGUGCUGUGGGGUGAGCCUGGGAGGUGGGGCAGCCUCUUCUGCAAAGGUCAGCAGCAGGCAUCUGCUUCAGACAAUGGAAUGAAGUGCUGCUGCUGCUGCUAAUUUUGGAGGGUGUGAGCAAGAAAUAGGAGGUGGAUCUAUAUAGUGCAAUAACAGCUGAAAACUAAAGAAAACUAGAGAAAACUAAAAUUAGGAGGGCUUUUCCCAGCUGGAUUUUACACUGGAUUGAGCAUAGUGGUAUUUCAGAAACACCCAAGAGACACAACUCUGACUUUUUGCACUCUUAGUUGAAAGAAGGCUCAUUUGGAAAUUGAGUGUUGCUCGUAAUGCUUGUGAUUUUGAUGUGUUGGUUUACAGAAGGGAGGCAUAUAUUAAAAGUAAUUAAGUAGCACUGGCAUUUCAAUGCUGCUCAAUUACAGCACUGGUCUCUCGAGGGUGACAGUUAUUAGACUGCAGGUGUGGCUAUAACCCACAUUUCUCUGCAGAUGACUUUUUUGGCCGUGUUUGAAAAACUGUCCUAAACCUUGCUGCCUUUGUCUUCCAUUUUUUAGCUCUUGAUUUUAUGGGAAGCAGGAGGAUAAGGGAGGAACAAGACAAAGGGAAGAAAAUAAAUGAGAAGAGUGAUGUUUGCUAUUCCAGGAAGGUAAAGAAAGAGGGCCAUUCCUGGCAGUGCCCCAGGCAGGUGCCACUCAGCCCUGACUGAUUCUCCUGGGGAGAGUUGCUUCCCUUUUAGAGCAGUCCCAGAAGACUACUUUGAGAACUUGCAUUUACAAGUGCUUUCAAGGAUGUUCCUUUAUCAGGGCUACACAUCAGAAUCUAUAUAAAUUAACACUCUCAUCAGAGCCCACGAGUAGCUACAGUUUGCCUCUUAAGACUCACCUGAGAACAUCCCUAUUUAAAUGUAAAUGCAGCCUUCCCAUGGGGCUACAGGGAUUUCUCCCACCUAAAGCACAGAAGGGAAGGGGGCAAGUGAAAGGAGCCUUUUUGCUCAUCAGAUCUGAAGGAUGAGGAUUUCUUUCUCUCCAGGCUUUCCCAGCUUCCCAGGAGAAAAAUCCUGGAUGAAGGGAUUUUUCCAAAGAAUGUGAAUGCCACAAGACAUGGGUGAAUAAAGAGACAUCAACAGAGAUGGGAACUCCAUCAUACGAGACACUAAGUGAGCAUGAGAAUGGCAGCACCUGCCCCAGGUAACAGACUGUCUAAAACAGGCAAAACAGCACUAAAAGAUGUACUAUCUCCAUUUAUAGGGCAAGGACUGUUAAAAAUGAAAAGAAGUUAAGCGUGAGCUGGCGCUGGCUUUAACCAUGUCUGCAAUCUCAAAUGCUCCUGCUCAUUUCAGCAAAGCCUUGGACCAGACUUGGAAAUAUAAAAUUAAUGAACUAUGAGGAGAACAGAGGAAAAGGAGCUUUCAUUAAGAAUGCUCAGAAAUCAACCUGAGUGCUCUCCUAAGAAAGCUGAUACACUUAAUCUCAGCAUCAAAGCAGAGUUUUGUAAGAUGGCAGGAAUUUCUAGGAAAGAGUAUUCAGACAGAUGCAAAAGGUCUUUUCAGGAGCAAGUAAAGUAUAAGUAAUUUAAGACUGUAUCUUUUGGAGCAAAAAAAUAGCCCUCCACAGGGUGUUGUGUCAGGGUGGGAGCAACCACCUGUGCUUGUGUCUUCCAAGGGGAACUCUCUUUUCAUAGAUUUUGGAAAUUAUUAUCUUAAUUUAAAAAUAAUUAAUAAUCCUGAACCUUUUCAUUAUUUACCAGUUUGACUCUCUGAUAUCCCCCCACCAGCUAAAGCCAAAAAUGGGGUGUGAUGUAAAGAAAAGCUCUGCACAUGAUUUUGUGAGAUAGGAGUGCCGUAUAUAAAUGACCAAUAACAGAGGAAAUUAAUGAAAUGUGCACAGGAGCAUAUGGGAAUGUUAGAGCUGCUGGUGAUCUGUGCAGUAUUUAUGUGUAAAACCUUGCAGUGUGUUUUCUGGAGCAGAGCUUUGCAAAAUGUGUUAUUUCAAACUUAAAGAGCUCUAUUUGUAGCCCACUGAAGCAUGUACUUGGCUUUAAGCAUAUGUUGAAGACUGUUAUCUCCUUGUCAAAACACUUUGGGCUAAACACACAGGAGAUAUAAGAGUUAAAGAAUUAACUAAAGGAAUUAUCUUUCUUAUUAAAAAAUUUAAAAUUUAAAUUAAAUUUAAAUUAAAAAUUUAAAAUGUAAAAUUUUGCAUUAAACUGUUUUUCAGGUAACUUAGAGAAGAAUCUUUCAUGUGCUUAUUCCUAAGAAUGGCAAAACAGUUUUGGCUACUACUGAAAUGAAAGUCAAAAUUGUUUAGCACCUCACAGGACAGAGCUAAGAGUAAUCAGGGGUAGUUCCACAUUCCUGGGACCUCAGACAACGAAGUAAUGUCAUCUACUUAGUGACCUGAUAUACUUAAUAAAUAUAGUUGUCCCUCAGAAAAUUUAUUGCAUAUGUUUAACCUGAGAACAAUCAGAACUAUUUUAUUAGUAAAUUGAAAACAGGAAUUCGUUGCAUUUUCAAAACUGAGAGAACUUUUCUUUUUGAGUACAUAGAUUUUUUUCUAGAGGAUUUGUAUUAUGUGGUCUGUCUUAAGAUCCUGUGCUAUCAAAGAGGAAUUCCCAGUCCUGGCUUUAGACUUGAGGCCCUCUAGACAGUGAAGUUGCUGGUGGCACAAAAACAAGAGAGGACUUGAUAAAGGGAGGUGUAGAAACAGUUGAGUAAUUGACAUUUUCCUCCAGGAACUGAAGCAGCUCCUCCAAUAGAAAAAGGCUCCUGUCUUUUCCUGGAAUUAUUUCCUUAUGCCCUUACUUGUCAACCUAGAAUGGUGGAAAAAAAUAGGUCAGGGCUUGUUUUCAUUGGUGACUAGUAACAGCACUGGA